UACGAAGGGGGCUAGCGUUGCUCGGAAUGACUGGGCGUAAAGGGCGCGUAGGCGGUUCGUACAGUCAGACGUGAAAUUCCCGGGCUCAACCUGGGGGCUGCGUUUGAUACGUACGGGCUUGAGUUCGGAAGAGGGUCGUGGAAUUCCCAGUGUAGAGGUGAAAUUCGUAGAUAUUGGGGAAGAACACCGGUGGCGAAGGCGGCGACCUGGUCCGGAUACUGACGCUGAGGCGCGAAAGCGUGGGGGAGCAAACAGG
rnacentral:rRNA from 1 species